rnacentral:rRNA from 1 species
AUUGAACGCUGGCGGCAUGCCUUACACAUGCAAGUCGAACGGUAACAGGUCUUCGGAUGCUGACGAGUGGCGAACGGGUGAGUAAUACAUCGGAACGUGCCCGAUCGUGGGGGAUAACGGAGCGAAAGCUUUGCUAAUACCGCAUACGAUCUACGGAUGAAAGCAGGGGACCGCAAGGCCUUGCGCGGACGGAGCGGCCGAUGGCAGAUUAGGUAGUUGGUGGGAUAAAAGCUUACCAAGCCGACGAUCUGUAGCUGGUCUGAGAGGACGACCAGCCACACUGGGACUGAGACACGGCCCAGACUGCUACGGGAGGCAGCAGUGGGGAAUUUUGGACAAUGGGCGAAAGCCUGAUCCAGCCAUGCCGCGUGCAGGAUGAAGGCCUUCGGGUUGUAAACUGCUUUUGUACGGAACGAAAAGACUCUUUCUAAUAAAGAGGGUCCAUGACGGUACCGUAAGAAUAAGCACCGGCUAACUACGUG